rnacentral:lncRNA from 1 species
AAAGUGUAGUCUCAUAUUUUGUGGCUGUAGGUCUGUACUGUUCAAACUUUGAGUGCGAGAGCGCCGAUUGCGCCAAAACAUCGUGUGAUGUCCGUGUCUCUGUGAGCGUUGCUCGAGCACGCUGUAGGUACCUAGGUAUAUUUAUAUUGUGGUCAUCGCGCGUGGGCUCCGUGAGUAGAUUCAAAAACUUGGCGAAUGGGGCAAAAAGGGCGUCUAAAACUAAGCGCCCGCAGGAAGAAGCUUAAAAGAUCAGCGAGAGGAUAUUUCAUGAAUAAAGAAAAUAUUCCUCCAGUGCAUGAUACGUUCCAACAAUCACUUCAAGAAGCAAUUUCGCCGCCUUUGUCGCAUUUGCCGCAAACACCGCGGUCGGCGUUUUUGAGAAUGUAAACAAACAGAAGAAAGCAACCUUAUUUCUAAAGGAAUAAAGUAUUAUUUUUAUA